UGUGAGCCGUACUCGGCCCCCGUCCAGCUCCAGGCGGAGGGUGUCUGCCGAGUUGCGGGAUGUGGUUGCCAUGAGAACGCCGUAGGCCCGCUGGGAGCGGAAGCGCAGCGAGACGUCCUCCGCCUCCGUGUGCAUGGCCAUGGGCAGCUGCACCUUCAUGAACUUGCUGCCGUCGUACGACAAGAUGGUGGCGUCUGCAGGAGGACAGAGAGAGGAAGAGGACGAGGAAGGCACCAACAAGUCAUAUGAGGGAAUGAUGGAGGGUGACCCAACAGAAACGACAGGCAGCAGGCAGACAGGAUUACUGCCUUUCUGCAGGGAGCAGCAAAGCGGUCAAAUUUAGCUCCACACCGCCGUGCCGACAACCCUGUCCAAAACAUGACGCUACCUUUUCUUCAACCUUCGCCUAAUUGGACCGCCCUUUCUUCUUCAUAGCAGGCACAAUGUAAAUAAUGAUCCUAGGCGGUAAUUGUUAUCAGGAGGUGAUAUCGUUUAGGCUUUUUCUUUGUAGCAUUCCCAUUAUUUGGCUUGGGAUUGGCAUUGGAUAUCUCCGACGACCGGGAAUCCAACCUGUGCCAUCUGAAGUGAAUGAGCACCAUGGACGCCACAACCACCAGAGCUGAUUAAGAUGAUACGAGUACUUCACUAACAUAUAUUUGCCUAAUAUUACUGCGACCCCUACCUGAGCGUCCGUCCCUCUGGAAGUCCACGUGGUACCAUUCUCCAUCAUUGACCUUCUUGUCGAUGGCCUUGGUCUUGGUGGUCCCUGAGCCCAUGUCCAGC